UGAUUUUACCUAGCACAAUGAUGUAUAAUGAAAAUAAAAAAAUAUUUCUCGCUAAUAGAUAAAUAGAGAGAGAAAAGUAUGAUCGAUCUCAAAACUUGUAAGAAAGGAAAACGACAAAACGCGAAAACUGCACCUACUAUAAGAAUUGGUUUUACAUUUCACUUGAGAAAUAAGUUCCAAAAAAUAAGAGAACAUUUGUCCGUCUUUUCUAGUGUAUUAUAAGCAUGAAAGUACUCAAAACUUUUUGUGGACCCAAUCUACAGCUUUAUCAGCAAUGACAUUUAAUUGUUUGUGAAUAUCAAGCUUCCAUGGUAAAGUAAGAAACUAGAGCAACCCAAAUUAUAGUUGGUUCGCUUAUAACUACGUAUAAAUAUCAAUUUAUAGGCCAGUCCAGGAUCUGAUUCAUAGUAAGAUCGGACAAUUUAAGAUUUUUUUUGUAAAUAAAUUAAUUUCAGUGCGGGUGAUUAAAAUAAAAACAGGAGACUAGAAGUCUAGAACUCUAGCGUUUUUGUUCCAAAAUGUGAGUAACACAAGCACAUGUGUUUCUAAAUAUGUGGCACUAAUCCGCUUAACUUGUCAUCCCAUAGAAUCGUAUCAGAUACAAGAACAUCCUUUCCUUUGACUCAUACUCUAUAUAUUUUAGUUGAAUAUUAUUUUUCAAAAAUAUAUAUAUUUAUAGUAAGUCUAUAAACGAGAAGUGCAGUGAUAAUCCGCAAUCCACUUAAUUAGUUAAAUCUUGAAUUCACCUUUGCAUUAUUCCAUUGGCAUAAGAUAAGACCUAUGACAUAACAGAAAUUAUCAUCGUGGAAAACUUAUCUGAAACGAAUUCAAAAAGUACAAGAUAAGAGCAAAUGUCGCACUACUCUUAUAGCUUGAUUGGCCAAAGCUUCUUUUAGGUUAAAAGUAUUUUUUUCUAAAGUUAAGGUGUUUGGCCAAAUUUUUAGAAGGAAAAAGAUUAUUUUUGAGUAGAAACAGAAACAAUUUUUGAAAAAAAUACUUUUAAAAAAAAUUCACUUAAAAGAACUUUCUAAAUACAUGACCAAACACUAAUGGUUGCUCAAAAGUAUUUUUAAAAUUAAUAAACCAAUCAUAAUUUAUUUGUCACCAAAAGUACUUUUUUGAAAAUCACUUAAAAAAAAGUAAUUUUAAAAAUAAGAUGAUAGUAGAAGCUUGGCCAAAAAGACUAUUAAUCCGUUACAAAAAGAAAAACAAAAUACAAAAAGAGAAGGAAAAUUACAAGUCAAAAAUAUUUUUCUCCAAAAAUUGUUCACCCUCUCAAAAGAAUUUGUCCUCAGCUCUUUCAACAUGUCCGAAGGAAAAUCUUUUGGUAGGUAUCUAGGAUUUCCCAUUUUCCUUAAAAGACCUAUAAAAAGAGAUUUUCAAUACCUUAUCGACAACUUCAAAUUAAGGCUUGCCGGUUGGAAGACCCACUGCCUUACUAUGGCAGGUAGAGCCACCCUUAUCAAAUGCACCCACAACUCUUUACCUAAUCAUAUCAUGCAAUAUAUCUCCAUCCAACAAAAUAUCAUCACACUGUUAGAUAGAUAUAAAAAAUAUUUCCUUUGGGGAUCCACCUCCUACAAGCAUAUACUACAUACGACUAAAUGGGAUAUUGUUACAUUACCUAAACCCCAAGGAGGUCUUGGAAUACAAAACCUCUCCAUAAAAAAUAAAGCCUUCCUAGCUAUUCUAGCAUGGAGAUUUUUUAAACACCCGUCAUCCUUUUGGGCAUCUAUACUACUCACAACGUAUAUUACCUAUAAAAACACCUCAUUCAUUUAGAAAAACAUUCAACAAGGAUGACACCAUUGUCAAUUAGGAUCUAAAUGGGUAGUUUCAUCGGGCAACCAUAUCAAAUUCUGGACUGAUAAUUGGCUUGAUCACCAAACCACCCUUAGAUCCUUAAUUGAAGGCCCCUACCGCUCCUAGAAUACUAGCGGCCGAUUAGCUACUACAUACGCAAUAAUAAUUGGGAUCUAACUAACCUUCUAUUUCAUCUUCCCCGGGCUAUACUCCUUAAAAUACUUAGUAUUUAUUUAUCCCAAUACCCCAAUCAUCAUGAUACUCUUAUAUGGAACCUCAGACCUUCAGGACAAUUUACUGUCCAAUCAUGUUAUCACGCACUAACACCAAAUGUCCAUUGUAAAAGCCAUACUUGGAUUUGGAAUCUACCCACACCUCCUAAAAUCAGAUACUUUCUUUGGCUAUGUAGCCACCAUAGGCUUCCCACAAAUGCCUACUAAGCUCGCCUUAAUAUUAUCAACAACCUUUGUUCUUACUGUUCCACGGGCGCAGAGACUAUACGUCAUCUACUCUUCGAGUGCACUGCCUCCAGGCCCUUAUGGGCUCACCUAGGACUUCUUCAUCAUAUAAACUCCCUUCAACAUCGAAGCAUUUCACUGAUUGAGCAAAUCAAGUUUUUGAUCAUGCAAUAUACUCACCAUACCCCCUACAAUAUUCCUCCAUCCACCUUAAUUCCAUAUUGUCUAUGGGGUAUUUGGAUCCAACGCAACCAUAAUAUAUUUCACCAACACUCUACCCCUUCUCCCUAUCUACACAUUCUUAAAAAAGCUGCAGAAUUCCACUUCCUCACAUCGCAACCACACAAGAACAAAACCCUAACUCUUCUAUACAUCAAAUGAAAACCACACAACCACAACCACUACAAAUUAAACAUUGAUGGAGCAGCUAAGUCUCCAAGGUUAAAUGGAUUAGGAGGGGUCAUACGCUCAUCUGGAGGGGACUGACUUUUGGGAUUUUCUAAACAUAUCGAGUUUGGUAAUAGCAUACAAACAGAGCUAAUUGGUUUGCUUCAUGGCUUGCGCUUGUCCUUACAGCAUGGUUACUUCCCAUUGGAGAUUAAUAUAGAUGCCAAUGAGGUAAUCACUUUAAUCCAUUCCAACAAUCCUCACUAUACUAAGUUGAUCACUGAUUGCAGGUUGCUGCUCAAGCAACUGGGUGACCCUCUUCUUCAGCAUAUAUACAAGGAGGCAAAUAUGGUAGCUGAUGGAUUAGCUAACUAUGAUAUACGCUUAUCAUGCAGCAACAACUUACAACUUUUGAUACACCACCACCUUUUGUCCACCUACACUUCCAUUAAGACAAAGAAGGGGCAGUGAGAAGGAGAUUUGUCAACUCUUGCGUUUUGUUACCCACCAUAUCCCCCCAAAUGUAAAUUCAUGCACAACUAUGAUCUUCGCUCCCCCCCUCCCUCUGGCUAGUUUUUGUGAUGAUCCUUCCAAGGAUCCUAGUAGUGAAGUAGCUAGUAGUUUUCUUACUGAUCCGUCUGUGGACCAUAGGCCAAUAGUAAUUACUCAUGUACCAUCAGCCCCCACAAGUGCCAUGAGCACCUUGCCCUCUGUAUCUUUUAUGACGUGGUAAUGAAGUUAGUAAUUUUUUAUGACCCAAAAAAAAACGAAGAACAUUGCUAGAAAUGUGUUAUAUUCCGGCAACUUUUUGGGACCGGGUUGCUAAAAGGCCGAAAGCACACUCGUGGAGCCCAGAAAGUGCUCUUUCCCAUGAGAGAGUUCCCUAGGACAGAUACUGUGUACGGCAAUUUUGAGACAAUACAGAUACCGCAAUGCCUCAUUUCCCUUAUUUCUGUAUCUACAUUGUUCAGCUAUUCAUUUUUAUCAUUGAGCUAGUUUUUAAUUUGUAUUCCUCCUGGUCUACAAUGAGUGACUAAUUUUCUUUGGGCACACCUAUUAAGAAAAUACUAAAUUCUAGACGAAAAUAAUUAGUGUAACUAAAUUACCCUUCAUUAAGUGUUGCACCAUAGUCAUAAUAUCACUUACUUCUCUUUUAAAAUGUGAGGAGUAAAUGACUUUUUAGAGAUGCGUAUAUAAGGGUAAGUUUGGAAAAAUAAAUUGAUUUUUUUCGUGAUUAUAUAAAUGGAUACUUAUUUUGAACUAAAAUAAAAAAACAAAUUGAUCACUUAUUGUGGACCGGAGGAAGUAAUUGUUAAUUGUUGAAAUUGAAAAUCUUUAUUCUUAAUAGAAUUCACUCCUUCUAAAUCAAAUUACAUGAACUAAGAUUGAAAAAGGAGAAGAAAAGUGAUGGUCAAAGAUUCACAAUGGGAGGAAAGAGAAGUGCGUACGUUUUUAAUUUGUCGAGAGCUCUCUGGAUAUUUUUCCAUUGAUUCUCCUCAUGCCUAAGGAAAACCUUUAUUCUGGAUUGAGUUUGUGCUGGCCAUAUAGUGACCUUUUGGAACUUUUUCAUUUUUUUAAUGCGGUCCCAUAAGAAUCCAUGAGAAGAUAUUUUACUUAUCCCAAUUCUCCUUCCAAGAGCGUGGCCUAAAUUCCUUCACUUAUCAUGUCAUCUCUGUUUGAUAUGCAACAAGCAACAUUUGGUCGGCAGAUAUCAGCGAAAGAAUGGCGUUUGAGAGAUGACCAAUAACUAGCAGAGUCACCACAGAGGCUUCUCUGAGUUUUUAUAUAGUUAAUAUACAUUAAUUUCCUUCUCUCCAGCUAAUUGUAUUUAAAAUUCUGGGUUGAAAUAUCAGGAAUAAUGCUCACACAUACUGUAUUUUACUAUAUAGAUGAGAAUUGUUUUACAGCCUCAUGUUAACAUGUUACACAUCCUCAAAGGGCUCAAGAAGAAGAAGUGUUGAGUCUGUCACAAGUUCCAACAACUUGAGUCAAAGAAACGAGAGAGGAAACAUAUGCCCAUCAGUUUCUCUGAUGACAGUACAAAUCAACUCUCUACGGCUAUAAAGUCGCUGCACUGUUUUCUGCACACGCAACAGUGCAGUUGUCACUUCCUUCAGCAUGCUUUGUACCGGAUAAAUGCAUACGUCAUUCUGAUGACAUCACUUGUAUAUUACCAACAUAAGGCAAGGGAAAUCUCCACACUUGCAUUACCUUAAACAAUCAAUUCUCUCUCAGGUGAGCUGAAAAACAUCAUGUCAUUGAAGAACAAAGCAACAACUGAACCAAGGACCAGAUCACAGUAUCAAGUCUAUCAUAUGUCCUUAGUAUUGUUAUGUCUUUGUUAGUAUCAUUUAUUUGUAACUCCUACCCAGCUUACUUAGAAGCAUUUCUAUAGGAAAUCUUUUGUAAAAUCAUAAACCCCGUGUUUGUGUUUUGGCUAGAGUCAGUCAAAGUGUGUGCUUUGCAAUAGAGUUAUUAUAAAGAUACUUGUAAUUGAGUUAUUACAAGUAGGUGAAGGAUUAAGAGGUUCAUUCCUAGAUUACAAUAAGUUGUGAUCUGAAAGUUGCUCAGUUAGUGAAGUUGAAAUCCUACGAGGGUAGGUCAUGGUUUUUAAUCCCGUCAGCUGGGAUUUUUCUAUGUAAAACUCUG
rnacentral:lncRNA from 1 species